UACGUAGGGUGCGAGCGUUAAUCGGAAUUACUGGGCGUAAAGCGUGCGCAGGCGGUUUUGUAAGCCAGAUGUGAAAUCCCCGGGCUCAACCUGGGAACUGCAUCCGAGACUGCAUUGCUAGAGUAUGGGAGAGGGAAGCGGAAUUUCUGGUGUAGCAGUGAAAUGCGUAGAUAUCAGAAGGAACAUCAGUGGCGAAGGCGGCUUCCUGGACCAAUACUGACGAUCAGGUGCGAAAGCGUGGGGAGCAAACACGG
rnacentral:rRNA from 1 species